rnacentral:rRNA from 1 species
UGUGUAGGCGGAACGGUAAGCGCUCUGUGAAAGCCCUCAGCUUAACUGAGGAAUCGCUUGGCGAACUACCGUUCUUGAGGCAGGUAGGGGUGCAUGGAACUCUUGGUGGAGCGGUGGAAUGCGUAGAUAUCAAGAGGAACGCCAGUGGUGAAAACGGUGCACUGGGCCUGUCCUGACGCUGAGACACGAAAGCGUGGGUAGCGAACG